UGGCCGUGCUCGGGCGGCCCUGCCCGCCGCCGCCUGCCGCGGGGGAAAGGGAUUUCUUAAACUCAGCUAAUUACCGUGGCUACUUCAUUGUACGCUUCAUCAUUUAUAACUGGAUAUUUUCUGCCCUGGAGCGUUCGUACAAUUUGCUGCCCAGUAACAUAGCGACUUGCACUUCUCUUGGGGUCAGGAUCACACAUAUUCACCGACGCUUGUUUGGAUAGAAGAGGUUGCAGAUUUUACAAAACUGGCACACAUUCCAGCUUGCUAAAAAUCACCUGGCAAUUCAACUGGCUACAGCAGUCUUCCUUUGCCGUCCCAGCUCCGGAACCCCAGCUGCGAGGCCCCGGCUUUUCUGCCACUGAAGGCGAUGGGAGCUUUGCCCUGGGCUGCAGUGACAGCAAGAGGAGAGCAGAUGGCGAUAAAGCAGGGCGUUGGACGGAACCAUGUGAUACAUGAUACUAAAAACGAGGUUAUGCAGUCUGAACUCUUGAGCUAGACAUAUCCAGCACAGCUACAUACUGACUGUACAUGUAAGAAAGUACAUCUGCAUUACUUCUUCUGGCAAGCAUCGAGAGAAUGUUAGUGAAAUGUGCCUGGAUUCGGGAGCUUAGGAGAGAGCUAUGCUGGGAAUGCUCCCGCAGCUGUUACUUGGAAAACAUCUGUGGUUCCGUGCAUGGAAAUUUGUACAUCUCUGGUCACGCUGGCACAGAGCAAUCAAUCUUGUGGAAUCAAGUAUAAAUUAUUGGUGGUAAAUAGGGGAAGGACGUUAUGCACCAACGAACUUGAAGUGAAUAAAGGUGCAGCAGUAGUCUGACAGAGGGAAGAAAAUACAGGUUGAUGUGAUUUGUUAUUUACAGUUAAUGGUUAUCUCUAUGCAAAGUAUAAAAGACAUUGCCCUGAACAAUUCAAUUCUAGCCAGAGACAUACAAGGGGGUAUGCUUAAGAAUCCCUCUGGAAGGACUAUAACAGAGUGCCUCCUAGCAGGUCAUUUAACUCAACAGCUUUCUGGCAGUACAGUCAGAAAGGUGACUGCUCUUUCUUCUUGGCUUAACUCUUAAUGACUAAUUAAAAUUCCAUUUAAGCAGAA